UUUACGUUGAAAUUAAGUUAUGUCUAUGUAGUUAGAGCAUCAGGAAGAGUAGAACGUGAACCAAGCACCUUGCCUCCGACAUCUGGGAAAGAUUCAAAUCCAGUUGUCUUCGGCGAUCUUGUUCACGCUCUUCAGGCAUUCCAAACUUUCAGGCUCGUUGAAGCAAUCGUGUAUGGUUCCUAAGUGCUCUGCCCACAAGGACAUUCUAUAUCCAUAUACCUGCAAAUAUUUCAAUCACACAAGUCUGUGUGAAAGUGAUAACUGGAGAAUUACGAGUCUAGAAAGAGGUAUGGAUCCUUUCCAUUCUCAAAGGAGGGCUCCAUUACUAAUAUUUUGAAUGUAUAGAUGUCCAAUUAUUCACAAUGUGUCACCAUUUCUAGAAAUAUGAAUCUUUAUACACCAAAAACUUUAGUAAUGGACUCAUUCAUUUCUAUUAAAAAA